rnacentral:ncRNA from 1 species
AACCUAUACAGAUGUAUCAACGCAAGACAGUUGAGCAUCUCCCUGUAGGAACAUGUUUUAAUAGAAACAUUAAUAAUAAGUCUUAUUGUGGAGCUUAUGCGUUGAAAUAAGAUGAGUUAAUGUGGAAUAGGUUAAUCGUAAGACCUUUAGUUGAAAAACUACAAAAUUGACCUAGAAAUAAAGAUUUCUAAAUUCUUUGUUUUUCUAGUUACGGUUCG